CCUUGAUUCAAACAAAACAGUUCUAAGCCAGGACUUAACUGAAAUAAAAGAGAUGUGACUACUUUUCCAGGGAAGGAUUUUGAUGUAAAAUAUUUUGUUUGGCAUCCCCCCCGUUUCUCUGUUGGCAUCACCGACCCUUUGGAGGUUCAUGUAAGUUCUAGAGAGGAAAGUAGAUCACAGUGUUUAAGCCUUUGCAGAUGCAAGUCUUGUUCUGAUAAUGGUUUGGGAUUUAAUAAGUCAUUAAAAUUCUCCAACAAAUGCUUUCCAGGUGGCUCGUGUAAAAAGAAUUUUUAAAGAAAGGCUAAAAGAAAAAAGUCAGAAUGAUCUUAGGUAAAUAACUUCUCAAGUGUGGGAGAGACACAGCUGUUAGUUGAUGCUGCUAAUUGGCCCCUAUUUGGAAAAUGCUGGCUCCUCACUUGGACACUGAGCAUCAACAUAAACACAAAAACUGCCUGAGUGGCAUCGGCUCCCUUGCCUAUCAGUGGUGCUUGGCUCUGCCCUUUCACUACAACAGUGCGCAAAGUGCCAGAGUGUUAGGAAAGGCUAGUUUACAAAGGUCCAGUGCAAGCCUGAAGUCUUCACUGAGUGUUAUUUUUACUCUCACAAGAUCCAUCAGCCAACAGAUAGAAUGCUGGGGAGUGAGGAUAUUAGAGGAACAGCAUUUAUGGGUUUCUGAAUCAGCCUGGGGUUGAAUCACACUUUUUUUUUUUUUAAAGAAAGAAGCUUUUAAAAAGUCAGAAUUAUCAUUAAUCUUCCAUGAAAAGAUGUGUCACUAUUCUCUUUAAAACAUUCCAUACAGCAAGGAGACCUGGAAUAAGAAAUUUAAUCUGUCAACAUGUCAAUUCCUUAUCUAUGUAAUGGGGAUGAAAUACUUCUUUUACAUGCCAAUUAUCAGAAUUAAGAAAAGUAAUAUAAUAAUCCCUAGUUCAGAGAAAAAGUUGACUAUUUUUAAGCAUUGCGUUCUAGGGACAUUAAAAUGAUUUCUGCAAAUUUUGUCCUUUUAACGUGGCCAAGUGUGUGUAUCUGUGUGUGUGUGCAUGUGUCAUGGUGUUGUAACUAAAAACCAGCCGAGAGAGAGAGAGAGAGAGAGAGAGAGAGAGAGAGCAGUUGUGCGUUAAUUUAAGUAAAAAAAUACAAAUACAAUACAAAGAGUUAUUUAGAAUACAGUUACUCAGAAUACAAAGAGUUAUUUAGAACAGAGAUUCCUUGAAUGGGCAAUGCUCCUUGAAGUCAUCGAUUAUUACGUAAAAAAACCCAGUGCCAAGUAUAGGAUACUUCUCCAUAAAUUGAUUUGUAACACAAGAGGCCCUAUAUAAUAUAAGCUAUUUUCAUUGCUGUCAACCAAAACUUGAUGAUAAGACCCUAUCGCUGAAGACAUCAACUACAUGCUUUGGAUAUGGAACACAGAAAUCAAGCUGAAAUUGAACUGGAAGCUUUUCCUCUGCUGGCUAAUUUUCAGUGUCAGAAGGUGCUAUGCAGGGUGAUGGGGGAGAAAAACCAUAAACAAAUCUUAUCCAACUGUAAGCCCUGCAUACUACCAUACUGAUCUAUUGGCAAGAUGUACUCACUUGUGUGCAAGAGUGGUGUGAAUAUUAUGGGGUAACAAACCUCUUUCUGAUUGAAUAUGAGGCUGCUCCACAGGAACAAAGUUUGGUUUUUACAGUUUGGUACUGUAAGCCCUGUCAAAAUCACAUGGUUGGAGAAGUCAAAGGCCAUAGAAUAAAAGCUAUUACUAGUGUUUUGUUGACUGUACAUGUUGUUAAGCUUCCUUCAAAUAGUCGUAUGUGCACCUAUAGAUUAGUGCUGCUCCUAGCCCUUUGAGAGGGAAGACGCUUGCAGCUGCAAGUGAUGGUUCAUAAUUGGUCAGACUGUUUACAAUCAGUGACCAUUGAGUUCUUAGCAUUAAAUAAAAUUAUCUGUAUCACUGCCUUCUGAGGCUCAGAAAAUAACACAGAAAAAGGUAUGGAAAGAAUAUAAGAGACACAAGAUGAGGUAGAGUGUUACAAAAAGAUAUUUCCUGGUAUAACAUGGUCUUGUACUCAUGAAUUGAUAACAUCUGUGUUUACCCACACAGGACCUGCUUGAGAUUGGCCUGUUAACAUUUCAUCAUGGAUAGUGGAAGUUCUCAUGAGGCUUCAUCCCUUCUUGAAGAUCUGUUUGUUAACUGGGGAGAGGGUGUCAUUUUCAUCAGUGGUGUAGACACUGCAGAAAGUGCUUUCCACCCAUGCUGAGCUUUUCUGAGAUGUUCUUUGUCAAUGCAAUUAAUAUCCAUCUCCUCACCUCCUCUUUGUCAAUGCAAUUAAUACACAUCUCCUCAACUCCUCUUUGUCAAUGCAAUUAAUACACAUCUCCUCACCUCAGGCAGAUUCCUUGGAUGAGGGCAAAAGGCAGCCACUACCUUCAUCAAAAUGUUACAAAAACUAUCUCUAGGCAACAUAUUAAAAUUAUUUUCCUCUGAAAACUCUAGAGCCAGGCCUGCACUGUUCAAAUCCCCCUCAGCACAAAUGUCUUCCACAUUCCUACUAGGAUGAUCCAUUAAGCUCUACUUAAAGCAUUUCACUGCUUCCCAAAUCCAAAGUCCCCAAAUCUACAUUCCUCCAAAGAAAACAUAGUCAGGCCUAUCAGAGCAAUACCCCAUUCCUGUCUUAAUUUGGGUUUCCGUUUCUGUAAGGGGACACCACAAUCUAGGCUGAAUUAUAGGUUCAGAGGUUCAAUACAUUAUCAUCAUGGUAGGAAGCAUGGCAGCAUUUAGGCAGACAUGGUAAUGAAAGAGCCAAGAGUUCUACAUCUUGUUCUGAAGGCAGCCAGAAGAAGACUGACAUUCUCAGGCAGCUAGGAGGAAACUUUCUUUCUCAAUGUGUAGAGCCUGAGCCUAGGAGGAAACCUCAAAAGCUCACUCUCACAGUGACACACUUCCUCCAAUAAGGUCACAUCUCUUAACAGUACCACUGCCUAUGGGCCAAGCAUAUUCAAACCAUCACAGAGACUAUUUGUCUAAUCUCAUUAUAAUGAGCCCCAAUGAUGAUCAAAUGUAGUUGAUGCCACAAUUAAAUUAAAUCAAGGUGUGUUUUCCAUUUUAUUUAGUUACAGAUGACAUUAAAGAUGGACUUUUAAAAAUAUUUCUUCUCUUAUACACUGCAUCCUGAAGACAGUUUCCCCUUUUUUCUCUCCUUCCAAUCCCCUAAUCUCCUCUUUCCCACAGAUCUAUUUCUUUUCCCUUUCCCUUCAGAAAAGAUUAGGACUUACAGGGGUAUCGAUACAGCAUGGUGUAACAAGUUGCAAUAAGACCAGGCACAAACCUUCAUAUCAAGGCUGGAUGAGGUAACAUAAUAGGAGGAAAAGGAUUCCAAUUCAGGUAAAGAACUCAGAGACACCCCACUCCCAACUCCUAGGAGUUCCACAAUCAUACAAAGCUACACAACCAUAAUGUAUAUGCAGAGGACCUGGCUCAGACUCAUACAGGGUUUGUGAUUUGUUGUUUCAGUCACUGUGAGCCCUUAUGAGCCCUGCUUAGUUGAUUCUAUGGGCUGUGUUAUUAUGGUGUCCUUGACCCCUCUGGCUCCUACAAUCAUUUCUCCCCCUCUUCUGUGGGGUUCCCUGACUCUUUCUGUGGGUCUUCUUGACAGUGAGUCUCCACAUCUGCUCCCAUCAGCUGCUGGAGGAUGCCUCUCUGAUG
rnacentral:lncRNA from 1 species